rnacentral:rRNA from 1 species
AUACGUAGGGGGCGAGCGUUGUCCGGAAUGAUUGGGCGUAAAGGGCGCGUAGGCGGCCCGGUAAGUCUGGAGUGAAAGUCCUGUUUUUAAGAUGGGAAUUGCUUUGGAUACUGUCGGGCUUGAGUGCAGGAGAGGUAAGUGGAAUUCCCAGUGUAGCGGUGAAAUGCGUAGAGAUUGGGAGGAACACCAGUGGCGAAGGCGACUUUCAGGACUGUAACUGACGCUGAGGCGCGAAAGUGUGGGGAGCAAACAGGAUUAGAUACCCUGGUAGUCCACACUGUAAACGAUGAAUGCUAGGUGUAGGGGGUAUCGACCCCUUCUGUGCCGCAGUCAACACAAUAAGCAUUCCGCCUGGGGAGUACGGCCGCAAGGUUGAAACUCAAAUGAAUUGACGGGG